rnacentral:rRNA from 1 species
UACGUAGGUGGCAAGCGUUAUCCGGAUUUACUGGGUGUAAAGGGUGUGUAGGCGGGGAAGCAAGUCAGAUGUGAAAAUUAUGGGCUCAACCCAUAACCUGCAUUUGAAACUGUUUUUCUUGAGGGUCGGAGAGGUAAACGGAAUUCCUGGUGUAGCGGUGAAAUGCGUAGAUAUCAGGAGGAACACCGGUGGCGAAGGCGGUUUACUGGACGAAACCUGACGCUGAGACACGAAAGUGUGGGGAGCAAAC